GAUGAACGCUAGCGGGAGGCCUAACACAUGCAAGCCGAGCGGUAUUGUUUCUUCGGAAAUGAGAGAGCGGCGUCCGGGUGCGGAACACGUGUGCACCCUGCCUUUAUCUGGGGGAUAGCCUUUCGAAAGGACGUUUAAUACUCCAUAAUAUAUUGAACGGCAUCGUUUAAUAUUGAAAGCUCCGGCGGAUAUAGAUGGGCACGCGCAAGAUUAGCUAGUUGGUGAGGUAACGGCUCACCAAGGCAAUGAUCUUUAGGGGGCCUGAGAGGGUGAUCCCCCACACUGGUACUGAGACACGGACCAGACUCCUACGGGAGGCAGCAGUGAGGAAUAUUGGUCAAUGGGUGCAAGCCUGAACCAGCCAUCCCGCGUGAAGGACGACUGCCCUAUGGGUUGUAAACUUCUUUUGUAUAGGGAUAAACCUUUCCACGUGUGGAAAGCUGAAGGUACUAUACGAAUAAGCACCGGCUAACUCCGUGCCAGCAGCCGCCGUAA
rnacentral:rRNA from 1 species